UACGGAGGGUGCAAGCGUUAAUCGGAAUUACUGGGCGUAAAGCGCACGCAGGUGGCUGAGUCAGUCGAUUGUGAAAGCCCUGGGCUUAACCUAGGAAUUGCAGUCGAUACUACUCAGCUAGAGUAUGGGAGAGGGCAGUGGAAUUCCCGGUGUAGCGGUGAAAUGCGUAGAUAUCGUUUGGAACGCCAAAGGUGAAAACAGACAGCUGGGAGUGUGCUGACGCUGAGACACGAAAGCCAGGGGAGCGAACGGG
rnacentral:rRNA from 1 species